rnacentral:misc_RNA from 1 species
GAUUUCUGUCCAGUCUAUGUUCAAUCUUAUACCUUAACAAAAUACAAUCCAUAGUAUUAACAGAUUCCACCUUGUUUCCAUGACUUUUAGGCUCAAGAUUUUUGACAAUAUGAUGCUGCCUUGGAUUAAGAUAAUUGGUACAAAGAAUCUCCAUUUAAUUGAAAGCAACAGGACACAACUUAAAUGGUGAAUGUGAUCAUCAUAUACAUCUUUUAAGCUUGUCUUAUGUGCAACCUAUAUUAAUUAAUAGAUGGUAUCAGAUCUAUAUCACAAUUGACUAUUCUGUAAGAUGUAUACCCUGCAUAAACAAUUUUUACAACUUCUAAUGGAUGUCAAACACUGUCAUGUCCAAGAAACACCUAUAUUGUCCCUUCUGAAGCUGGUCAGAACCAGGCAAAUCAUUGAAAUUCAUAGACCAUUGGAUUCACAAAUAAUGGCUGGUUUAAAAGGUUGCCCUGAUUCACCUGGAACUUCCCAGAAUUUGUAUAAUGGGUAGCCAUUUCUCCAAGCUGAAAAUUUUCAGCAUGGUCAGUCCCAGUCCCAGCAUUGCUCAUGACGUUUUGGAAAUCUAAACUUGGAUUGUAUGUGUUGUCGUUUAGAAGCUGAGAAAUUGAUCCCAUAUACUCAAAUUCCAGUAGAUGAGAAAGGGAACAUGUCUUUGAAAUUUUCAGCAUUUGUUGCUCACUGGCAUCAUUAGCUACAGGUUUUUCCAAUUGUGUAUUUGUAAUUUCUACUUUCUCCUCCAAAUUUCUUCCAAUAUUUCUCUUCUUAUAAAUCCUGCACAGGACCCAAUCAUCCAACUGGAAGACAAAACACAAAAUCAUGGUUAAAAGAAAAACCCUGGAAAUUAGAUAGUAGAUAAUAACCAGAAUUCAAUGGUGACCAAAGGGCUUACUCUCAUGGAUCCAUUUUGUUGUUUGACUUGCUUUCUUGAAUCAUUUAAGCGAUAUUCAUGCAUAAUCCAAUCACUCUUAAUACCCUUUGGUGGCCUACCCUUGUAGAACACAAGAGCUUUCUUAACACCAACAUAUUUAGACCCACUGUAGAUGGCCUUGUCUGUGCCAGUGGCCUUCCAAUACCCAGACACAGUUGCUCUGUUAGGCCUCACUCCAUUUGGAUACUUCCUGUCACGAGGAGUAAAGAAGUACCAUUCAUUUUCUCCAAAUUCUGCUUUCUCAGGUAAUUGCCAAGGAUCAAACUUGUAAAUAUCAACUUCUGGGAUUAUUGAAACGGGCAAUGGCCUAGAAUUGGCUUGGUUACGAAGGUAAUAUAUGAUCAAUUCCUCAUCAGUUGGGUGGAAUCUAAAACCAGGAGGAAGGUCAGAGCUGGUUUUUCCUUGCAUUUUCAAGUGCUGGAAACAAUCCAAGAAAAUAAACAAGGCCAAGAAAAGAUAAAAUAGAUCUAUAUAUAAGAGACUGCUGCUAGGUGCUAAUAAUUUCCUUAGGCUAGGCUAAGGAGGAUGAGGG